ensembl:lncRNA
UUUUAAUAUGCUCUUGAAUUCAGUAUUAUAGUUUUUUUUUUGAAGUCCAUUAAAAAAUUUUUUUUAUUUAUUUACUUUUGGCUGUGCUGGGUGUUGCUGCAUGUGGGCUUACUGUGGUGUGCUGGCUUCUCAUUGAGGCGGCUUCUCUUGUUGUGGUGCAUGGACCGUAGGGCUCGUGGGCUUCAGUAGUUUCAGCUUGGGGACUUAGUGGCCCCGAGGUGUGUGGGCCCUUAGUUCCCUGACCAGGGAUCGAACCCACGCUCCCUGCCUUGCAGAGAGGAUUCUUAACCACUGGACUACUAAGGAAGUCCUCUGCUUAAAAUUUUGAUGGCUAUUUCCAUUUUCAUCCUUGGAAGUUUUCACUAGUUUCCACUGUAAUCUGCAGACUGAACUGGCUUUGUUUUGACUUAUGAGAUACAGAGUUCCUUAUAACCAGAUAUUCUAUGAAUGUCACAAAGCAUCAAAGCAGGUGGAAAAGCAAGUCCAAAUGGCUAGAGUAUAUAAUUUCAAGAUUUACCAAGGAAUACAUGUAUCGAGAGGUUUUGAUAAGCUCCUUUUAUUUUUCCAUUAAAAAUUAACAUGUUUGUCAAUAUCCAAGAUAUUCCUGUAGCUAUUCUAUAAAAUGCUAAAAGGUAAAUCAACGUCCCUUUCUUCUCCUUUCCAUGUUUAUGUUUUCUCGGUGAUGUAUCCUUUUAUCACUGUACUUCUUAUCUUUUCAAAAAUGCGUUUAUUUAUUUGAGUAGACAAUACCAUCUUAUAGUACAAAAUUCACAAGUUAUUCCCAGACAUAUGGUGGGAAUUCUACUUCCGGUCGUGGCAGUCUAGGUCAUUGGAAUCAACCAUGCUGAUGACGGUUUAGAAAGCUGGACAAGACGUAAAAACAUUUUCUCAAAACCUUCAAUAAGUUUGCAAGAUAUUGAAGGAUUCCCAUACCAAAUCUGGAAGAAUGAAAAAAUCAAGACAGGUAAAGCCUUGCUAGCAAAAUCAUUUUUGCCCUGGAAACAUUUGCUUAUCCUAAGAAAGCAUCGGUGAUGUUAAGCAGUGCUUGUGGUAGGCUCACCCAUGAAGGCAGAGUUUAUAGUCUGUUGACUGUCAAGGAUAGAGACUCGAAUAAAUCACACCUCCAGUUUGAAUGGAGCCCCUAAAACAUGAAGGGGAUCUUGAACAGAGCCUUACCACUAGGCUUCCAGGUCCCUCACAUAGCCUUACCACUAAGCUUCCAGGUCCAGGGAAGCUUUAUCUUGACUGACCUAAGCUAAUAGCAUCAUUGGGCAACUGAUGGAAGCAAGUGAGAAAAUCCUCUCUAGGGGAAGAUGUUAUCAUCCUGAGCAUCAGAAUAAUCGUCCUGUCAAUAAUUUUUUUAUAUAAUGAGCACAUAAGGAAAAAACUGAUUCGCAAGGAAAUAGGACACCCAUGAAAAGAACUAGAACACGAAAACAACAAAAAUAUUCUCAAAACCAUGAGAUACUGGAGUAUCAGACACAGACUCCGUAACAACCACAUUCACUAUCUAAAAAGAAACAGAGGCCAAGAGUGAAAGUGUCAGUUAGUAACUGGACACUGUUAAAAAUAACAAGAGAUUUGAAAAAAAAAUAGAACCAAAUAGACAUUCUAGAACUGAAGAAUGUAAUAACUGAAAAUAAGAACACAGUGGAUUUAAAAGCAGAUUACGUAGGUGAAGAGAGAGUCAAUAAACUAUGAGAUAGAUUAGAAGACAGUGAUCCAGAAUGAACCAUCACGAGACAAAAAUAUAAAAAAUACAGAAAAGAUGGUCCUGCAGUUGAUGCUGUCUGUCAUAAAGGCCCUCAGCUGGCUGUUGUGUAGAAACUCAUCUCGUCUCAACUGGAGUGCCUGCGUGUGGCCUCUCCUUGUGGUCUGUCGGAAUCGGGUAGUUCAAGGUUUCUUACUGCAUGGCAGCUCGGUUUCAAGGGCAGGGUCCUAAGAGAGCAAAUUGGAAGUGCUUAGCAUGAAGCGACUUAGCAGCAGCAGCAGCAGCAGCAUUUUUAUAAUCUAGUCUUGAAAUUCACGUACUGCCACACCCAUAGUGCUGUCUUAGUUGAAAAAAUUGCAAAGGUCCCAUCCUGAUUCCAGGGAAAGGAUCACAGAACCUACCACCCAGAGGGAGGGGUGUCAAGGUCACAUUGUAAAAGCAUGUGGGAUGGGAUUAUAUUGUUGAGGCCAUCUUUGGAAAAAUACAGUUUGCUCUAUAUAUGAAGUUAAAGUCUCUCAGUUGUGUCCGACUCUUUGUGACCCCAUGGAUAUUCAGUCCAUAGAACUCUCCAGGUCAGAAUACUGGAGUGGGUAGCCAUUCCUUCUCUGGGGGAUCUUCCAAACACAGGGAUCAAAUGCAGGUCUCCCACAUUGCAGGCGGAUUCUUUACCAGCUGAGCCACCAGGGAAGCCAGUAUAUGAAAGGGCUAAGACCAAGUUGGGUUUAUUUCAGAAAUGCAAGAUUCAUUUCACAUGGAGGACUCAGUAUAAUUUGCUGACACAUUAAAAGGGGAAAAUGAUGAUUUUGUGAUAAAAUUCAGCAUCAAUUCCUGAUUAAAACAGCAACAACAAUAACUUUUAGCCACCUGGGAAUAAAUGGGAGCUUUCUUAAUCUGGUGAAGAAAUAACUAUAAAACAGCAGCAGCAGCAGCCCAGUCACACUAAGGAGGACUGUUGUAGAGAAUACAGCACUGUUGCCUUGACUCAGUUUUUCAGCACAAGUGGUAUUAGAUGCUGGACAUCAGAAACUCUGCCCCAUAACAGCUCUACAACCUGGGUUCAUAAUUUUAUUUAAGGUCUUCAGUGCAGUUGAAUGUACUUUCAUGACCUUUAUAUUCCUCAUGCCCGUCGUCGGCCUACAGCACCAACACCUGAGUUUGAAACAGCUUUGCCUUCAGUAUGUACUUUACUUGGGAUGGCCAUAGGUGAUGACUUUACAACCCUUUCAGCAUUACAUGCCAUUGACGACCAGCAUCCCAUCCUCUAAUGACGAGUGGGCAAACUCUGGCCUGCAGGUCAAAUCUAACUUGCUAUUUGUUUUGGUAAGUAAGCUGUUAUUGUAAUACAGCCAUGCUCAUUGGUUUACACAUGAUCUUUGGCGGCUUUUGCACUGUGAUGAAUUGAGUAGUUGCAACAGAAGUUACUUGUGCAAGUUUUUUAAGACUAUUGGUUACUUGUUUAGGGAGUAAACUCUUGCACUCUGUGCAAGAGGGUUCUUGGAGACUGAGACAGAGCUCCAACAUUCUUUCUGGGCCUCUUAGAGCUCCCUAAGUAGCAUGAUGUCCUCAUCAGGGUUCCCUUGAGACAUUACCCCCCUUCAGUCAAAAACUUCACCUGGAGUGUCAGUGCUGAUCAGUACCUUCAGCACUGCAAGCCUGUCUUGAUUGCUAGAUUCCAAAGAAGCUAUGGGCUUCCCAGGUGGCUCAGUGGUGAAGCAUCCACCUACCAAUGCAAGAGAUGUGGGUUCGAUCUCUGGGUCAGAAAAAUCCCCUGGAGGAGAUGGCAACCUAUUCCAGAGUUGACCCAACUUAGCAACUAAGACACAAACAACAAAAAAACUAUGGAUUCUAUUUCUAUAAUUAAAAUGUCUUAUUUUAUUUUUGCCUUUGCUCUGUUAAAGUAGAAAGACACUUUAGCUUUUAGCCCUCAGCUUCAGAUAAAACAGUGUCUUCAGCUCAUAGAGGGUUCCAUUGUUAGAAGUCUGAGAAACGCUCUGUGAUAACAUAUGGAUAAUCUUGGUAUAUGGCCAGAGACUAAUGGAUGCUGAAGAGUUCUUAGAAGAUCAGUCUUUCCUGUAGCUUAAGGCCAUUAAAUCAGAAUCAUUCUUGCUGAAUUUGUAAACAUGGAGUUAGUAGUUGGUGCAUAAGAAUUGUAGGGACCACAAACUUUGUUCUUCUCCUCUUUGACCACAUGUAAUAUAUUUCGUUCACUUUGAAGUCUUCUGAUCUUGAAAAAUGAAAAUGUU